UUGAAAUGAUAGGAUAAAAUGGAAGGAUUAAAAGCAUAAAUAACCCAUAAAUAAAAUCCCAUUACAUUUGCAGCCAAUAAAACCCAUUUCAAACCCUAAAAGAAAAAACUCUCCUCUGCCAUUUUUCAAUCACGCCGUUGCCCUCCUUUUGCCCUUUCAAAUCUGUUCCCAACCGGCCACAAUGACAACGACAAUGGCACCUCGACGGCACGCUUGUCACCGGUAGAAACGGCGUUGUGCGAAGCUGCUGAUCAUGGGUGAAGCGACGUGGGAGUGAUGGGCAGUUGCUGCAGCGUAGGGCAUUGUUGCGAGGGAAGAACGUGGGCAGUUGCGGUUGCUGCGGCGCUGAGGCACAAAAGCUGCCUAGGGCUGCUGUUGAAAAUUGUUAGGGCUAGGUGGGUUUGGGUUUGAUGUAAUCUAGACUUUAGUUUUAAUUGGGCUCGGGUAAAAAUUGGGUAUUACAAUAUUGUUUAAGACGUUUUGGUUUCCCAUUUCAAAUUGUUAUUUUUUUAGGAGCCCAAGGCACCUCCCAUUCAGUCUGCUAUUUGUUUGACAGGUGGACGAGAUGAAGGGCUUUAAGGUAUUGUUUAGUGUUUUCAAUUUUUUAAUAAAUGCAUCAGGUACUUUAUUUAAAAAAAA